GAUGAAGAACGCAGCGAAAUGCGAUAAGUAGUGUGAAUUGCAGAAUUCAGUGAAUCAUCGAAUCUUUGAACGCACAUUGCGCCCCUUGGUAUUCCGGGGGGCAUGCCUGUUCGAGCGUCAUUAUAAACCUCAAGCCUAGCUUGGUGUUGGAGCAUGCUACCUAAGCAGCUCUUAAAAUCAGUGGCAGUGCCCUUCGGCUCUAAGCGUAGUAACUUCUCUCGCUAUGGAACCCGGAGGGUACGCGCCAGAACCCCCAACUUUCUAUGGUUGACCUCGGAUCAGGUAGGGAUACCCGCUGAACUUAAGCAUAUCAAUAAGCGGAGGA
rnacentral:misc_RNA from 1 species